GAUUAACGCUGGCGGCGUGCCUAACACAUGCAAGUCGAGCGGCAGCGAGUUUUACACUGAAUUCUGGAAGCUUCUAGUUGAAGGAGAAGAUUUAUUCAAGAAUUUUGUGUAAAAUGUCGGCGAGCGGCGGACGGCUGAGUAACGCGUGGGAACGUACCCCAAAGUGAGGGAUAACGCAUCGAAAGGUGUGCUAAUACCGCAUAUGGUCUUCGGAUUAAAGCCUUCGGGCGCUUUGGGAACGGCCUGCGUAAGAUUAGAUAGUUGGUGGGGUAAUGGCCUACCAAGUCGACGAUCUUUAACUGAUUUGAGAGGAUGAUCAGUCAGACUGGAACUGAGACACGGUCCAGACUCCUACGGGAGGCAGCAGUGAGGAAUCUUCCACAAUGGGCGAAAGCCUGAUGGAGCAACGCCGCGUGCAGGAUGAAGGCCUUCGGGUUGUAAACUGCUUUUAUAAGUGAGGAUUAUGACAGUAACUUACGAAUAAGGAUCGGCUAACUACGUG
rnacentral:rRNA from 1 species